CGGAUCGCAGGCUGCAACCCGCCUGCGUGAAGUUGGAAUCGCUAGUAAUCGCGGAUCAGCAUGCCGCGGUGAAUACGUUCCCGGGCCUUGUACACACCGCCCGUCACACCAUGAGAGUCGGGAACACCCGAAGUCCGUAGCCUAACAGCAAUGGGGGCGCGGCCGAAGGUGGGUUCGAUAAUUGGGGUGAAGUCGUAACAAGGUAUC
rnacentral:rRNA from 1 species